GGGGAUUUAGCUCAGUGGUAGAGCACUUGCCUACCAAGCACAAGGCCCUGGGUUCGGUCCCCAGCUCCA
rfam:Rattus norvegicus chromosome 15, whole genome shotgun sequence.